rnacentral:snRNA from 1 species
AAAGAUAAAUACAUAUCUUAA